rnacentral:pre_miRNA from 1 species
AGUUCAGUUUCAGGGCUCCUCUCUCUUGGCAGGGAACAUGUGAAGUCAUGCACCUCUAUCCAGCCCUCUCUGCCAAAGGAGAGUUGCCCUGUAACUGAACC